rnacentral:rRNA from 1 species
AACGCUGGCGGCGUGCUUAACACAUGCAAGUCGAACGGUGAACCAGAGCUUGCUCUGGGGAUCAGUGGCGAACGGGUGAGUAACACGUGGGCAACCUGCCCCAGACUCUGGGAUAACCUCGGGAAACCGAUGCUAAUACCGGAUACGACCACUUCGGACAUCCGACGGUGGUGGAAAGUUUUUCGGUCUGGGAUGGGCCCGCGGCCUAUCAGCUAGUUGGUGGGGUAAUGGCCUACCAAGGCGACGACGGGUAGCCGGCCUGAGAGGGCGACCGGCCACACUGGAACUGAGACACGGUCCCAGACUCCUACGGGAGGCAGCAGUGGGGAAUAUUGCACAAUGGGCGAAAGCCUGAUGCAGCGACGCCGCGUGAGGGACGACGGCCUUCGGGUUGUAAACCUCUUUCAGCAGGGACGAAGCGAAAGUGACUGUACCUGCAGAAGAAGCACCGGCUAACUACGUG